GCGCCCGAAGCUCAGUCGGUAGAGCGGUGGGACGGUGAUCCACAGUCUCGCGUUCAAGUCCCGGCGGUCGCU